UUCUUCACGGUGGCUUGUUCUCGGUGGAGGGCUGCGUCAUCUUCGUAGUGAUGCUUGUUGUACAUCCGUUGUCCGCUUCGAGUUGGCUUAGCUGAUCUCCGGCACCUUUGUAUCUUGCUCUGUGUGUUUGGGUGAUGUGUUUGUAUGGUUCGGUUGUAUGAGGGUCAUUGCUUUAUAUACAAAGCGGGGCGAAAGCCUUUUUCGGUAAGAGAUUUUUAUCAAUACCAAGAACCCAGGCUUAGGCUUUUUUGGUUGAAAGAGGAGAUUGCUGCAAUUGAGAGAUCAUAAGGUAUCCAUCUUUGCCAUGUAGUUUCUUAUGAUAUGCUAGCUAGACAUCCAAUGAUUUCUACUAGGCUUUCUUUGCUAUACAUAUACUAGCAGCUAGUGAACUUUGUUAGACACUUGACUGUAACCUUAGUCCAAUCAGUUGGCCUAAAGCUAGAACCUGGUCUGUUGGUAGCUAUAAUUAGAAAGAGGAUGCAGAUAUGGUACCACCAGCUUGCCAAGUGCCUAGCUACUUAAUGAUGCUAUUUCUUUACUUUUUUUUCUCUAUUGCUUUGAUUAUGAUAUGUUGUUAUUCAAGUGAACUUGUAGCAAUCUGCUUGACAAAUGAUUUACUCAUCAGGGAAGUAACUUGUCGUAGCAGGAGUGUGUGCCUAAUCUUGUUCUUAGUAUUAGGUGCAUAGGACUAGGUCAUGUGAUUGGGUUCAUGUUAAUUUGCACAAUGCACCAUCAGAUUGCACAUUUUCAAACAUAUUGGUUGGGUUCAUAUUAAUUUGCACAAUGCACCAUCAGAUUGCACAUUUUCAAACAUAUUGGUUGGGUUCCUGAACAGUCUUGUGGCAAGCAAUGCAGUCUUAAUUUUGUUAUGCACAGUGCACACAUCAUAUGUUGGUUCAUACUGUUCCAUGUCAAUAUGAUUGUACUAAGAAAUAGUGUAGUCAGACCUUGAAUUGAUUCUAGCUAACUUACUUCUUUUUGUAUUUCAGCCAACAUCAAGUUGUGGUACGCAAUGUCCAUGAGGAGUGGACAAAAAACUUAAGUUGUACUAGUGACCGUCUCCUUGCAGCAACGCAUAUUGUUCGAAAGUGUCCCUGCCUUGACAUGGCAACUUGAUAAUCCAGAACUUUUUAACCAUGACCUUGAGACCGAUAUUUGAACCAUGGUGAAGGGAUGGAUUAAGUUGUAAUAUUUUUUAAUAUUCUAUAAUUUGCACGAAUUCUGAAAUUUUGUUAUGUGCAUGUUGUUUUUGUGGUUGUUUUCCAAAAUUAUUUGUAGAAUUCUUAUCUAUGAGAUCUAUUGUCUUAUAC
rnacentral:lncRNA from 1 species